GUUAGGCAUGAAAUGACAGCAGGCUGUUCAAUACUGUACCAUACUGACUGACGAGUGGCGUGGAUUGGUACAACUCGACUCAGUCCCACAUAGUAUUUGAUCAAAUUUUAUCUAAAUGAUUAUCCAUAGUUGCCUCUUUUAAACCGCAGCAGUUUCCUUGAAUGCAUCACUAACUUUUCAACUCCAAUUAAACUCUGUUUAUGACAUUUCCUAUUUUUACACUCUCUCACUGAAGUUGUUCUCAGGAGACGGGUCAGUGUGUGUGUAGAGAACCUAUGUUUUACUAGGUGGAGUCAGGCUUCUACUUCAUCGCACUGAACCACUACACCUGCGAGGCUGAGGACGCCAAGUUUGGACCUGUGAGUCACCUUUGACCUUAAUGUAACUUUCUUCUAAGACUUUUGGGGUCAUGGUGUUCCAUAACUCAGCACAUAUGUAUCCCUCCACCUUACUCAGUGGAGUCCUGACCAGGGGUAUCAAACUCCGAAAUCUAUGUACCUGUUGUGUUGGCGUAGUAACCGGACAUGUGGGAGGAGGAGUUUAUGACAGUGAUGCGUCCACCCUGGAUCGUGGUAAACAAACACCUAGUCUCUCUCUCUGAAUGUUUGUUGCACAUGAUAGAGUGAGUAAUGAAUGGGUAUUUUACAUGCAGUGUGUGUGUAGUGUAGGAUAUAGAUGUUGUGUAUAUGAGUCUACUGAGUCUGUAAACCCCCUGUACUACAGGCCGGUGUUUUGUUUGCACACACUUUUCUGGUGUGAUUUAGUGCAGUGUUGUGUGACAUCACUCUCUCUCUCUCUCGCUCUCUCUAACUCUCUCUCUCUCUCCACAGAUAUGUGGUGCUCCCCAGACCAGUGUUGUGUGACAUCUCUCUCUCUCUCUCUCUCUCUCUCUCUCUCUCUCAGCCCUUUGACACCAUACUAAAUCUAAUUCCAUCCUCUGUAUUUUUCUGUCCUCUAUAGAUUAUGCUGAUGCCCCACUGUAAGAACCUGGAGAUCUUCACUGGUUCUGAGGGAGGAGACGUGGCCACUAACGGUGUCUGGGACAAGUUCCAGCAUUACCGCUGACUGGAGAACAGCCAGAGCGUGGUCAAGACCCCCUCCACAGACAUCUGCUGCAACUUCAUCUUUAGCUUGUCAGCUCUACUGCACCAGGGAGACAAAGAGCAUACCACCAUGCUGACAACCAUCCAUGCAGAUCAGUGGACAAAGGGCUGGACAACGGGCCGCACCGAAAAAAACACGUUUGCCAAGCCACUGUAAUCGAUGGGGGCUCGGAGGGGGUCCAUUCUGCUUAUCUGAUGAAGGAGCACAUGGAUCAGAUUCAAACUUUGAAGACUGAGAUCGAGUCAUUGAAGGCAGAGCAGCAGAAAGAUAAACAUGAUCUGAUGGCAGAUAUAUGGGAGACAGCUGAUGCAUUGGUCCAGAUCCAGGUGGCAUUGGCGGAAAAUUACAGGUUGAAGAGGGCGAGGAACGAGAUGGAGUCACGAUCCAUGCCAGGCACACCUGUGAGCUCUGGAACUCCACCUCCUACAGGCAGAGUCAACAUAGCUGGCGGGUUCAUCAGGUCAUCGGUUCAUCGAUUCACCCUGACAUUUCCAUUCCUCUUCUGACAACUGAACUUGACUAACUGCUCACCAGGCACAGAAAGGGCCGUCUGGACGUUAUGCUGUUCUGCUAAAGCCUAAUAAACAAAUGCAGGUGGUUUAUAUCUUCAAAAUGCUUCACAUGCUUUAUUAUCCAAAUGUAAAAGCGUAUACUCUACAGUACUGUAUUUCUUCAUCAGCAUCUUUAUGCUUUCGUUAAUAAAAUA